CCCGGCCGGGCUGAUGUGCCUGGAGUGCGCCUCGGCGGCGGCGGGCGGCGCGGAGGAGGAGGAGGCGGACGCGGAGCGGCGGCGCCGGCGCCGGGGGGCGCAGCGAGGGGCUGGAGGCGGCGGCUGCUGCGGGGCGCGGGGAGUGGGCGCCGCGGGAGCCGCGGCCGCGGACGACGAGGUGCAGACGCUGUCGGGCAGCGUGAGGCGGGCGCCGUCCGGACCCCCCGGCACCCCCGGCACCCCCGGCUGCGCGGCCGCUGCCAAGGGCCCCGGAGCUCAGCAGCCCAAGCCGGCCAGCUUGGGCCGCGGACGGGGGGCCGCUGCCGCCAUCCUCAGCUUGGGCAACGUGCUCAACUACCUGGACAGGUACACCGUAGCAGGCGUCCUUCUGGACAUCCAGCAGCAGUUUGGGGUCAAGGACCGAGGCGCCGGCUUGCUGCAGUCAGUGUUCAUCUGCAGUUUCAUGGUGGCCGCCCCCAUCUUCGGCUACCUGGGUGACCGCUUCAACAGGAAAGUGAUCCUCAGCUGCGGUGUCUUCUUCUGGUCGGCGGUCACCUUCUCCAGCUCCUUCAUCCCCCGGCAGCACUUCUGGCUGCUGGUCCUGUCGCGGGGGCUGGUGGGCAUCGGCGAGGCCAGCUACUCCACCAUCGCGCCCACCAUCAUCGGCGACCUCUUCACCAAGAACACGCGCACGCUCAUGUUGUCCGUCUUCUACUUUGCCAUCCCGCUGGGCAGCGGCCUGGGCUACAUCACGGGCUCCAGCGUGAAGCAGGCGGCUGGAGACUGGCGCUGGGCCUUGCGGGUGUCCCCCAUCGUGGGCAUGAUCACAGGAACACUCAUCCUGAUCCUGGUCCCGGCCACCAAGAGAGGCCACGCUGACCAGCUCGGGGGGCAGCUCAAGGUGCGGACCUCGUGGCUCCGAGACAUGAAGGCCCUGAUCCGCAACCGCAGCUACGUCUUCUCCUCCCUGGCCACGUCGGCCGUGUCCUUCGCCACAGGGGCCCUGGGCAUGUGGAUCCCGCUGUACUUGCACCGAGCUCAGGUCGUGCAGAAGACAGCAGACACGUGCAGCAGCCCGCCGUGCGGGGCCAAGGACAGCCUCAUCUUCGGGGCCAUCACCUGCUUCACUGGCUUCCUGGGUGUCGUCACGGGGGCGGGAGCCACGAGAUGGUGCCGCCUGCGGACCCAGCGGGCCGACCCCCUGGUGUGUGCCGUGGGCAUGCUGGGCUCCGCCAUCUUCGUCUGCCUCAUCUUCGUGGCUGCCAAGAGCAGCAUCGUGGGUGCCUACGUCUGCAUCUUUGUUGGGGAGACGCUGCUGUUCUCUAACUGGGCCAUCACCGCGGACAUCCUCAUGUACGUGGUCAUCCCCACGCGACGGGCCACGGCCGUGGCCCUGCAGAGCUUCACGUCGCACCUACUGGGGGACGCCGGGAGCCCCUACCUCAUCGGCUUUAUCUCCGACCUGAUCCGCCAGAGCACCAAGGACUCCCCGCUCUGGGAGUUCCUGAGCCUGGGCUACGCCCUCAUGCUCUGCCCCUUCGUGGUGGUCCUGGGCGGCAUGUUCUUCCUGGCCACGGCCCUCUUCUUCCUGGGUGACCGCGCCAAGGCCGAGCAGCAGUCCCUGCCCGGCACGUCCGGCCAGCCGGCCCCCGAGAUGCGAUGCGCCAGAGCAGUGCCCGGGCCCGGCCGCAGCUGAUCCGCCACCUUGACCCCCGCCCGUCUCUCCCCCAGGGUGAACCAGCUGGCGAUGCCACCCGCACCCGUCAAAGUCUGAGGCCGUGCCCCCAGGAUGGCGAAGAGACCGUGCCGUCGCCCUACCUGGGAGGCGUCCCAGGGCAUCCCGGCCCUGCCGGGCUGACGCGAAGCUUUCUGUGUGACCCGAGGCUGGGCACCCACCCUCUCUGGUGCAGGCCUGCCGAGUGGCCGUGGCACCAAGAGGCCGCGUCCUCAACUGACGUGGAAGGCUGCGUGUGGGGGAGCCGCACGGACGGACAGACUCCCAGCCGCUGGGGCCCAGGGAGGACACAGCCCCCAGCGUGUCUGUGGGGAGAGCCUGGGGCGUCACCACCUUACAUGGUCCUGGGCGGCUGGACUUUCCCACGUGGCAGCUUUGGAGACCCUGGACUGCACGGAGAAGGGGCGGCCCAGGCCUCGGGGCGGAGCUUCAGGCUCUGACCUCAGGGUGCUGCUGGGCGCUGGGCACGACCCUCCGGGGGGCACUGGUCCCUGCUGCCGGGGCUGGUGCUCGGCCUGGUGGUCUCCUAGGUGAGGGCCAC